rfam:Pan troglodytes isolate Yerkes chimp pedigree #C0471 (Clint) chromosome 6, whole genome shotgun sequence.
GCCAGGUGUAGUGGCGUGCACCUGUAGUCCCAGCUACUUGGGAUGCUGAGGCAGGAGAAUCACUUGAGCCCAGGAGGCAGAGGUUGCAGUGAGCCGAGAUCGUGCCACUGCACUCAGGCCUGGGCGACACAGUGAGACUCUGUCUCAA